UUCAGUGGACAUGAACUGAGGUGUUGAAAUGGCCUGCAAGUGAAGAAUGGGAGGACCCUCUAGUUCCUAAAGAAGUGCUUCCUGAAAGAAAACAUAAAAAAUAUUAGAAAGUAUGUGAAUCAACCUUCUGGGCCCAAAGAUGAUCUGGACAUGGAAAAAGAUGAAGUUGUGUUACUAAGAUACCUUUGAACAUUUCAAGAAGUGGUGCUGAGAGCUGCAAUGCCAGCUCAAUCAAAGCUCUGAUAUUUGCUGCUAUCUCCAUGCAUGUUUACAGCAGCUGACAUAUGAAAAGCCAGGGAAUAAUUUGAGUUUGCAAGCUAUGAAAUAAGUCCAUUUUGGAUCUGAA